UGGGGAAUAUUGGACAAUGGGCGAAAGCCUGAUCCAGCGACGCCGCGUGGGUGAAGAAGGCCUGCGGGUUGUAAAGCCCUUUCAGUGGGGAAGAAAAGCCUCGACCUAACACGUCGGGGUCUUGACGUAACCCAUAGAAGAAGCACCGGCUAACUCUGUGCCAGCAGCCGCGGUAAUACAGAGGGUGCGAGCGUUAAUCGGAAUUACUGGGCGUAAAGCGCGCGUAGGCGGCUUUGCAAGUCGGGUGUGAAAUCCCCAGGCUUAACCUGGGAACUGCUCUCGAGACUGCAUGGCUAGAGUAUGGGAGAGGGAAGUGGAAUUUCAGGUGUAGCGGUGAAAUGCGUAGAUAUCUGAAGGAACAUCAGUGGCGAAAGCGACUUCCUGGACCAAUACUGACGCUCAUGUGCGAAAGCGUGGGGAGCAAACA
rnacentral:rRNA from 1 species